GUAGAUUAAAUUCUCUAAACAACCUUUCUUUGCACUCAAAUUAUUUAGAAGAUUUAAUCCCGCAGUCUUUGGGUAACUUAACCAACUUGGUUACCUUGUAUAUUUAUAACAAUUCACUUUCUGGUUCAAUUCCAAGUGAAUUAGGAAACCUGAAGUCUCUUUCUGAUCUAGAAUUGGGCAACAAUAAACUCAGUGGCUCGAUUCCUCAUUCUUUGGGUAACUUAACCAACUUGGUUACCUUGUAUAUUCAUAACAAUUCACUUUCUGGCUUAAUUCCAAGUGAAAUAGGAAACUUGAAGUCUCUUUCUAAUCUAGCAUUGAGCAGUAAUAAACUUAGUGGCUCAAUCCCUCAAUCUUUGGGCAAUUUGAGCAACUUAGCUAUGUUGUAUCUUUAUAGCAAUUUACUUUUUGGUUCAAUUCCAAGUGAAUUAGGAAACCUGAAGUCUCUUUCCGAUCUAGAAUUGGCCAACAAUAAACUCAGUGGUUCGAUUCCUCAUUCUUUGGGUAACUUAACCAACUUGGUUACCUUGUAUAUUCAUAACAAUUCACUUUCUGGCUUAAUUCCAAGUGAAAUAGGAAACUUGAAGUUUCUUUCUAAUCUAGCACUGAGCAGUAAUAAACUUAGUGGCUCAAUCCCUCAAUCUUUGGGCAAUUUGACCAACUUAGCUACGUUGUAUCUU
rnacentral:lncRNA from 1 species